rnacentral:sRNA from 1 species
UUUCAUUGUUAUGAUGUCAAAGUUAAAUAUAAUACAUGACUAAUUAAUUAUAAGGUUGUAAAUACGUAAAAACAACUUGAAUCAUAUUUUUCCUACCUAUUUUUUGCUUAUGUUUUGCUCGUUUUUGUUCAUUUUAAAAUAAAAUUAAUCAAAUGUCACAUAAUUGCAAAAUCUUGUGAGUGCAAAAUUGUUGAAGAACGAGGUGAGGAUUGAAAGCACAAACACUCUUCACAGCGAGAAGGUUAAUCCUCUAAAGACCAACAACUUCAACAUCUAUGUGUUGUGGCCUAUCCUCCAGAAAUAUCCGAAAGUGUUACAUGUAUAGUAACAAUGAUUUUUUGAAGCUUAAAGAUAUCAAAACCCUCAAAAUUACCGUUUUGCAGUUCUUUCAAGUUCAAUCAUCCGUAACUAAACCCACAACUUAUUAUGAAGAAGGGCAUGUCAGUCACACUUGUUGGCCGUGAAUCGAUUCUCGAAAUGGCAUGGGACCACCUCAUCGAUGAUGGUGUCGGCAUUGUUGGUUUGCACGACAUGGGUGGAGUGGAAAGAACUACUCAUGUCACCCAAAUCAACAACAUAUUAUUAAGGAGCUCUAUUCAUUAGGAUUAUGUGUUAUGGAUUGUCGUCAUGCAAGACUCAAACUUGCAUAGUAUUAUAUACGACAUUGCUGCCAAAUUAGGAUUAUUUGGAUCGGUAGAGGAGUGCCGCUCUAGAGAGGAAAUAAAGAAAUACUCCUGAUUUACAAUCUUCUGAGGACAAUAAGAUUUGUUCUAUUUCUAAAUGACAUUUGGACCAAAGUUGAUCUAGCGGAGAUCGGAGUUCAUGUUCCCACCACAGAAAACUAAUGCAGAUAGCCUUCAACACUUGCUUUUUGGAUGUUUGUGGCCGCAUGAGAGUGAGACCCUAUCCAUGUCCAAUGCUUGACACUAAACAAGGCUUUUGAGUUGUUCCGAAAGAAAGUCGGAGAAUGAACUCUUCAAAGUGAUGCAUAGAUUCUCAACCUCGCAUCAAGUGUUGCUGAUAGGUGUUGUGGUCUCCCUCUGACACUCAUUGUCAUUAGUGAGACAAUGGCUUCCAAGAAAAUUGUACAAGAGUGGAAACAUGCCCUUGAUGUUUUAACCACCUCUAAAUAGUUUUCAGGCAUAGAGGACAUCAUUCUUCUCGUAGUGAUGUUCGGCUACGACAGUUUAAAAAUGGAACACCUUAAGUCGUGUUUUAAGCACCUAGCAAUAUAUCUAUUGAGUUUCGAUUACAAGAUGAUAAUCUAUGUUGCUAUUGUAGACAAUUAGAUAUCAAUAAUUUCAAAAAAUGAUAAUUUGGAUGCAUAUGAUGUUUAUAAAAGCAUAUGUGAGAUAUUAAGAUCCACCUCAUCACUAAGCAUACAAAACUUUAAUGUGCACAUAUUUUGAGCAGUGUUAUAUAUUAACUGUUUAUAUAGACUUUUUGUUUUUUUUAGCCUCUAUUAGUAUUUAAGUUUCUAAGUUACCAAAUUUCAAGGCUUUUAGAACAGAUUCAAAGCUUUCAAAAUUUGCAUGUUUUACCUAUACUGUAAAAUAUCUAUAAAUUAAUAUUCGAUAAAUUAACAACCACUAUAUAUUAAUAAAUUUCUUCAUCCCCACCUUGGAUUAUU